CUGCUUUCUCACUUCACAUCGCUAGGUCAAAAGCCCGUUCAGGGAGAUGCUACCCAUAAAACCACAGCGAUUGUCUCAGAAAGCACUGCGAUACCCGCAAUGGCUUGGGCCAUCAAUUCUUCAGCCUCAGAUUCGCUCUCCGAGAAUUCAUAUUUCUACACAGAGUGUUUCUGCUGUCAUCCAGGAUGAUCACCAACCCAAUGCAUACAAUACCAAGAAGGGGAUUCUACACCAAUGCAGUCAUGGAAAAAAAUGUAGAGUCCCUUGGUUUCCUUGUAAAACAUUUGAAUAAUUUGUAAUUACAACAGUUAUCGACUACUUAAAUUUGAUUGCAUACUCCAUGCA